CGGGGGAGAUGGUAUCUACGCCAACGAAUGUAUAAGUGGUACUAACACGCCUUCCACUAUUGGCGAAUCGCUCAGUAACACGUAGUUUAUCUACCCUAUGGAGGGGCAUACCCUCGGGAAACUGAGGCUAAUUCCCCAUAGGCCACGCGAACUGGAAUGUUGCGUGACUCAAACGACGUGUGAGGCUAUGAGAGCACGCUCGCCAUAGGAUGAGACUGCGGCGGAUUAUGGUUGUUGGUGGGGUAACGGCCCACCAAGCCUUUGAUCCGUACGGGCCGUGAGAGCGGUAGCCCGGAGAUGGGAACCGAGACACUGUCCCAAGCCCUACGGGGCGCAGCAGGCGCGAAACCUCCGCAAUGCACGCAAGUGUGACGGGGCCAUCCCGAGUGCCUUAGGGCUUUUCUAUAGUGUAAGAAGCUGUAGGAAUAAGGGGAGGGCAAGGCUGGUGCCAGCCGCCGCGGUAAAACCAGCUCCUCAAGUGAUUCGGACUUUUACUGGGCCUAAAGCGUCCGUAGCCGGAUCUGCAAGUCUUCGGUUAAAUCCGGCAGCUCAACUGUCGGCCUGCUGGAGAUACUACAGAUCUUGGAGGCGGAAGAGGUAGAGGGUACUCCUUGGGUAGGGGUGAAAUCCUAUAAUCCAAGGGGGACCACCAGUGCGAAGGCGCUCUACUGGGACGCGCUCGACGGUGAGGGACGAAAGCCGGGGUAGCGAACCGGAUUAGAUACCUGUAUGCGUAUUUAGCAGCAAGCUAAAUACCCGGGUAGUCCUGUGCUGUAAACGAUGCGGGCUAGGUGUUGGUCCAGCUACGAGCUGGAUCAGUGCCGAAGGGAAGCCGAUAAGCCCGCCGCCUGGGGAGUACGGUCGCAAGGCUGAAACUUAAAGGAAUUGGCGGGGGAGCACCACAAGGGGUGAAGCCUGCGGUUU
rnacentral:rRNA from 1 species